rnacentral:misc_RNA from 1 species
GUGAAUCAUCGAAUCUUUGAACGCAAAUUGCACUCUCUUCGGAGAGUAUGCCUGUUUGAGGGCCAGCCUAAAAAAAAUCGACAUAGUCGCUGUUUCGCGGGGCCAUUCUCCGGAAAUUGGGUGAUCUUAAACCUUUGGGAAUAAAGCGGCUGCAAAUUUACUUUCCGAUUCCACGAACGUUUCUAAGAUUUACUUCUGACGGGUUUAAGGCAAUCGAUCUUUAUUAGACGUGUCCC